GACGAACGCUGGCGGCGUGCCUAAUACAUGCAAGUCGAACGCAGUGGGGAUGGGUGAUUAACACGUGGGUAACCUCCCAUCAGAGGGGAUAACACUUGGAAACAGGUGCUAAACCGCUACUGCUGGAUGUACCCGCGGUGCAUUAGCUAGUUGGUGAGGUAACGGCUCACCAAGGCCACGAUGCAUAGCGGACCUGAGAGGGGAAUCACCCCCCCUGGGACGGAGACACGGCCCAGACUACACCUGUAAUCACAAUUACAAAAUAUUCAGCAAUGUACGAAAGUCUGACCGAGCAACGCCGCGUGAGUGAAGAAUUUGUUCGGAUCUUAACACUCUGUUGUUAGGGAAGCGGUAUCUAACCAGAAAGCCACGGCUAACUACGUGCCAGCAGCCGCGGUAAUUC
rnacentral:rRNA from 1 species